AAAAAAGUAAGCAAGGGCGUACGGAGGAUGCCUUGGCUCUCAGAGGCGAAGAAGGACGUGAUAAGCUGCGAAAAGCUUCGGGGAUCUGCAAAUAGGAAUUGAUCCGAAGAUAUCCGAAUGGGGCAACCCGUCACGCUGAAGGCGUGACAUUCCGACUAGUCGGAAAGCAAACCCCGGGAACUGAAACAUCUAAGUACCGGGAGGAAGAGAAAACAAUAGUGAUUCCCUGAGUAGUGGCGAGCGAAAGGGGAGAAGCCCAAACCUGUGUCGUUACGGCGGCAUGGGGGUUGUAGGACUGCGAUGUGAUAGUAUAAAAUGAAUUUGAAUUACCUGGGAAGGUAAGCCACAGAAGGUGAAAGCCCUGUAAGAGCAAGUUUUAUACGUCUAGCAGUAUCCUGAGUAGGGCGGGACAGGUGAAAUCCCGUCUGAAGCUGCCGGCACCAUCCGGUAAGGCUAAAUACUACUGAGAGACCGAUAGUGAACAAGUACCGUGAGGGAAAGGUGAAAAGUACCGUGAAUAACGGGGUGAAAUAGAACCUGAAACCGUGCGCUUACAAGCGGUCGGAGGGCUUAAGUGGCCUGACGGCGUGCCUUUUGCAUAAUGAGCCUACGAGUUACUCUUCACUGGCGAGGUUAAGGGUUUAAAGGCCCGUAGCCGGAGCGAAAGCGAGUCUUAACAGGGCGCUUAGUCAGUGGAGGUAGACGCGAAACCUUGUGAUCUACCCUUGUCCAGGAUGAAGUUGUGGUAACACACAAUGGAGGUCCGAACCAGUUAACGUUGAAAAGUUUUUGGAUGAGGUGAGGGUAGGGGUGAAAGGCCAAUCAAACUGGGAAAUAGCUCGUACUCCCCGAAAUGUUUUUAGGAACAGCGUGGGGUUUAUUCUAACGGAGGUAGAGCUACCGAUAGGACUAGGGGGAGUCACAUCCUACCAAAUCCUGACGAACUCCGAAUGCCGUUAGAUUUGCCCUGCAGUGAGGGUCAGGGUGCUAAGGUCCUGAUCCGAGAGGGAAAGAACCCAGACCUACAGCUAAGGUCCCUAAAUCUGUGUUAAGUUGAACUAAGGCGGUCCAGUUGCAGAGACAGCCAGGAUGUUGGCUUGGAAGCAGCCAUUCAUUUAAAGAGUGCGUAACAGCUCACUGGUCGAGCGACAGGGCAUCGAUAAUAAUCGGGCAUCAAACACAGUACCGAAGCUUAGGAUUUAUCCGCCAGACGGCGGAUGACUGGUAGGGGAGCAUUCUAUACAGCGGCGAAGGCGCCUGGUGAUGGGCGUUGGAGCGUAUAGAAAAGCAAAUGUAGGCAUAAGUAACGAUAAGGCGGGAGAGAAACCCGCCCACCGAAAGACUAAGGUUUCCGCGGCAAUGCUAAUCAGCCGCGGGUUAGUCGGGACCUAAGGCGAAGCCGGAGGGCGUAGUCGAUGGACAAUCAGUUAAUAUUCUGAUACUACCUUAUAUAGCGAAGGGGAGACGGAGUAGUGAAAGGUCCGCCCGGAGACGGAAUACCGGGUUAAAGGGUGUAGGUAUAGGGCUGGUAGGCAAAUCCGCCAGCUUUGCUGAACCUGAUAGUACCACAAUCCUACGGGAGCGUGGAUAGUGACCCUAAUCAGACUUCCAAGAAAAACCUCUAGUAAUGUAUAAGGUACCCGUACCGUAAACCGACACAGGUAGUUGAGGAGAGAAUCCUAAGGUGCUCGAGUGAUUCAUGGCUAAGGAACUAGGCAAAAUUGUCCUGUAACUUCGGGAGAAGGGACGCUUCUCCGCCGCAAGGCGGAAAGCCGCAGUGAAAAGGUCCAGGCGACUGUUUAACAAAAACACAUGGCUUUGCGAAAUCGAAAGAUGAAGUAUAAGGCCUGACACCUGCCCGGUGCUGGAAGGUUAAGGGGGGGACUUAGGAGCAAUCCGAAGGUCUGAACUGAAGCCCCAGUAAACGGCGGCCGUAACUAUAACGGUCCUAAGGUAGCGAAAUUCCUUGUCGGGUAAGUUCCGACCUGCACGAAUGG
rnacentral:rRNA from 1 species